UCUCGGGUAGGCGGAAGCAGGAGCUGCGGCGGAGGGGGAGCGAUGGAGGCAGCGAGGCCGGAGCCGGCCGCAGCGAAUGGCGACUGCAGCCGCCCCCUGUCGCUCUCCGGACAGUCCUACUGGCUCGACGUGUGGCUCUUCGUCCUCUUCGACCUGGCGCUGCUCGUCUUCGUCUAUCUGCUGCCCUGAGCCCGCGGUGGCAGCUCCUAUUCAAGAUGAGGAACCUUUUUUAUAAAAACAUGCUUUGGAAGAGGAAGACUAUACGUGCAACAGGACAACUGGAAAUAACACUCUCAAACCUGUUAAGCCACUGAGUGCUAGUGGUUCACAUUGAUCCAUUCAUGGAUGUACUGAUUUGAGGGGGUCUGGUUCAUCUAUAGCCUAUUUACUUCAGUGACAAUGUAAAUUGUGCCUUAAGUUAAAUUAUUUCAAAAGUUUGAGGAUACUCUAGUUUCCUUAGCAGUAAUAUUGAUUGCUCAUUUGUCUUUUACAUAAUGUUCAGUGUUUGAAUAAAGAUAAUUGAAAAAAUGGAACUUCA